rnacentral:rRNA from 1 species
AUUGAACGCUGGCGGCAGGCCUAACACAUGCAAGUCGAACGGUAACAGGAAACAGCUUGCUGUUUCGCUGACGAGUGGCGGACGGGUGAGAAAUGUCUGGGAAACUGCCUGAUGGAGGGGGAUAACUACUGGAAACGGUAGCUAAUACCGCAUAACGUCGCAAGACCAAAGAGGGGGACCCUCGGGCCUCUUGCCAUCGGAUGUGCCCAGAUGGGAUUAGCUUGUUGGUGGGGUAACGGCUCACCAAGGCGACGAUCCCUAGCUGGUCUGAGAGGAUGACCAGCCACACUGGAACUGAGACACGGUCCAGACUCCUACGGGAGGCAGCAGUGGGGAAUAUUGCACAAAGGGCGCAAGCCUGAUGCAGCCAUGCCGCGUGUAUGAAGAAGGCCUUCGGGUUGUAAAGUACUUUCAGCGGGGAGGAAGGGAGUAAAGUUAAUACCUUUGCUCAUUGACGUUACCCGCAGAAGAAGCACCGGCUAACUCCGUG